rnacentral:lncRNA from 1 species
AAUCUCCUUCAUAGAUACCAACAUAUGCUCGGCCUCUUCCACCUUUCCAUCUUUGCACCAAGCAUCCACAAAGAUAUUACACGUCACCACAUUUGGGUAGACCAGAUCAGCUAUCAUCUUCUUUAACAUGUCUUCAGCCUUAUCCAUUGUUCUCCUAUUGCACAACCGCUCAAUUAUUGAACUAUAUGUCACAACAUUAGGUGAAAUCCCCUUAUCACCCAAAGAGGAGAAGAGUUGGAGAGCAUCGUCCACCUUUCCUUCCUUGCAUAGACCAUCAAUGACUGCACUGUAAGCAUAGACAUCUGGUUUGCAGCUCCCUUUUCCUUUUUCCAAUGAGCAGAGCAAAUCAAUCGCCUGUAGAAUAUCCCCAGCUUUGCAUAACCCAUUAAUUAUAGUAUUAUACGUAUACUCAUCGGGCUCGCACAGUUGGUAGACCGACAGCUUCCCCAACAAUUUAGCUGCCUCUGGGAUCCUUUCAACAAACAGAAGGCCUUUCAAGAGAGUGUUGAAGGUUACAACAUCAGGCUCGUACCCACGCUUGAAAAAAAUGCCUAAGAUAGCAAACCCAAAAUCAGGUCUUUUCUGUCGGCAGUAGCAAUCAAUCGCAAUACUCAACGUGUAGUGAUUCACAGGAGCAUCCCUUUGAAGCAUUUCGUCGAUCAGAUGAAGGGCAAGAGAGUAUUGUUUCAUCUUCACCACGGUACUCAACAAUUUACAGAAAACAGUAACAUAAGGGCGCGGCUGCGUUCUCAUCAUAUCCCGAAAUAGAGCGACGGCAUCAUUGGGCUCACGUAUAGAUUCAAAAUCGAAUCUAUGAUAGGCGGAGAAGUGUCUCCUCAUUUGGCAGCUGGCAUUAUCAAAAUGAAAAAUGGGUCCAAGAAAUGAUUGAUAAUGUGGAGGGGCGAUGGAAAAAGUGGAGAAUUUAGAUGAAGAAUUCGACAAAAUUCUACCCAGAAACAUGGCGGCGUGGUUCGACCUCAUUAUUGGAAGCUGAAGAAUUGGGGAAGAAUGAGAGAUAGGAUUUUGUGAGGAAGAAAGGUGAAAAAUGAGUUUUUU